rnacentral:rRNA from 1 species
GAUGAACGCUGGCGGUCUGCUUAACACAUGCAAGUCGAACGAGUGGCGGACGGGUGAGUAACGCGUGAGAAUCUGCCUUCAGUUGGGGACAACAGUUGGAAACGACUGCUAAUACCCAAUGGGAUGAGCUCGCGUCUGAUUAGCUAGUUGGAGUGGUAAUGGCACACCAAGGCGACGAUCAGUAGCUGGUCUGAGAGGAUGAUCAGCCACACUGGGACUGAGACACGGCCCAGACUCCUACGGGGGGCAGCAGUUGGGAAUUUUCCGCAAUGGGCGCAAGCCUGACGGAGCAAGACCGCGUGAUGGAGGAAGGCCUUUGGGUUGUAAACCUCUUUUAUCAGGGAUGACGGUACCUGAUGAAUCAGCAUCGGCUAACUCCGUGCCAGCAGCCGCGGUAAUACGGAGGAUGCAAGCGUUAUCCGGAUUUAUUGGGCGUAAAGCGUCCGCAGGUGGUUUUUCAAGUCUGCUGUUAAAGCGCGAGGCUUAACCUCGUAACGGCGGUGGAAACUGAGAGACUAGAGUAUGGUAGGGGUAGCGGGAAUUCCCAGUGUAGCGGUGAAAUGCGUAGAUAUUGGGAAGAACACCAGCGGCGAAAGCGCGCUACUGGGCCAUAACUGACACUCAUGGACGAAAGCUAGGGGAGCGAAAGGGAUUAGAUACCCCUGUAGUCCUAGCUGUAAACGAUGGAUACUAGGUGUUGGUGCCGUAGCUAACGCGUUAAGUA